rnacentral:rRNA from 1 species
GUCCACGCUGUAAACGAUGAGUGUUAGGUGCUGUGGGUAUUGACCCCUGCGGUGCCGUAGCUAACGCGUUAAACACUCCGCCUGGGGAGUACGGUCGCAAGACUAAAACUCAAAGGAAUUGACGGGGGCCCGCACAAGCGGUGGAGCAUGUGGUUCAAUUCGACGCAACGCGCAGAACCUUACCUGGGUUAAAUCCACUCGAACUUAGCAGAGAUGCUUUGGUGCCUUUCGGGGAGCGAGUGAGAAGGUGCUGCAUGGCUGUCGU